CAAUAACUUAAAGGGUUGGACCUUACCUCCAGUGUUACAAUGAUACGUCAAUGCACGUAGGUAGAGCAGUGGUUGGGAUCUUUUACCAAACAUUUGGAUUUCAAGCUCUGAAGAAUUCACUUAAAUGAAGGAAGAAAAUGAAGGACGCAGGCUGCAGGUCGACAGGAGUGAUAAAUAAUCACAAAGAUUUUAUUGCAAAAUCAUUGGAGAGUUUUGUUGGCCAUGAGCACCAAACUCAUCUAAAGAACCAAAUACCUCGACCACAUAACCAUGUUCAUAGAGUGCGCUCGAAAGAUGUGGAUGAAGUUUUUGGAAAAACAAACCCCUGACCUAAACAAGAAUGCUGUAUGACUGGAAUUCCUGAAACUCUGCAAUAGCGGUGUGCUUCACUGGCACAGUGACUUAAGCUUCUAGAAGAAACAGGCCAAAAAUGUCUUAAAUAUGUAAUGAAAUUAUAUAUAUACACAUCAUAAUGGGAGGAUACAGCUUUAUGGACAACUCAAAACAAUUGAUGUGUAGGCCACACUGGAUUUUACCUCCAUGGAACACUUAACAGCUUAUACACAUCGAGCAAACCAAGGAUUGUUGAUGCCUUUAGGGAACCUUUGGAAUGAUAUCAUGUUCCAGUUAAACUUUAAGGGACCUUUUGACAGAAAACAUCAACUGGGUGAAGUGGUACAAAACGAGGAGACUUAAUCACAGCACUUUUCGUUUUGCUGUAAACCUGCUGUAAAAUGUCUCCUGAGGAAGAAGAGCCAAUAACUUGUUGACUCUAAAUGAAAAAUAUGUAUCCAUGCACACCAUGUCAUUAGAACGGUUCUCAGUCACUGAUGAGAAACUUGUGUCAUGCAAUCACAAAUGCCUCCAAGUAACUAUAUACGUUAUAUGAGUGAGUAGCCAAAUAUAAUGAAUUACUGAGUGAUGCUUUUACAUUUAACAGGAUAAUAUAACCAAACAUGCGUUUUAGCAGUUUCUUAAACUAUGCCUUUGGCAUAAUAACCAGCACCGAUCUUUGGACAAUGUACUUUGGACAAGCCACGCAACUCUUAAAGGAUAACAUGACACGGCCUACAUCUGAGCAGUGCUGAGACAACGCCAAGUACCAUUGUUUGAAGAUUCGCCUGUGCUAACCCUGACUAACUGUUCUCUGACCCCUGACCACCAUCAAGAAGGAACAGCUAUAGAAGUUGCUCUAGGCUGGGA
ensembl:lncRNA